UACGGAGGGGGGCUAGCGUUGUUCGGAAUUACUGGGCGUAAAGCGCACGUAGGCGGCUUUGUAAGUUAGAGGUGAAAGCCCAGGGCUUAACCCUGGAAUUGCCUUUAAGACUGCAUCGCUAGAAUCGUGGAGAGGUAAGUGGAAUUCCGAGUGUAGAGGUGAAAUUCGUAGAUAUUCGGAAGAACACCAGUGGCGAAGGCGACUUACUGGACAUGUAUUGACGCUGAGGUGCGAAAGCGUGGGGAGCAAACAGG
rnacentral:rRNA from 1 species